rnacentral:rRNA from 1 species
AUUGAACGCUGGCGGCAUGCCUUACACAUGCAAGUCGAACGCGAAAGGGGGGCAACUCCUGAGUAGAGUGGCGCACGGGUGAGUAAUGCAUCGGAACGUGUCCUGUAGCGGGGGAUAACCUAGCGAAAGCUAGGCUAAUACCGCAUACGUCCUACGGGAGAAAGUGGGGGAUCGUAAGACCUCACACUAUAGGAGCGGCCGAUGCCGGAUUAGCUAGUUGGUGGGGUAAAAGCCUACCAAGGCGACGAUCCGUAGCUGGUCUGAGAGGAUGAUCAGCCACACUGGGACUGAGACACGGCCCAGACUCCUACGGGAGGCAGCAGUGGGGAAUUUUGGACAAUGGGGAAACCCUGAUCCAGCCAUGCCGCGUGAGUGAAGAAGGCCUUCGGGUUGUAAAGCUCUUUCGGCCGGGACGAAAUCGCACGCGUGAAUAUCGCGUGUGGAUGACGGUACCGGAAGAAGAAGGACCGGCUAACUACGUGCCAGCAGCCGCAGUAA